rfam:Picea glauca, whole genome shotgun sequence.
AUGUAAAUGCCUACAACUUAGCAUUAAUUCAUUGGAUACCAUUACAAAUCCGCAGUUAAGUGCGCUCAGGAUAGAGUAGUAUUGGGAUGGGUGAUUGCCUGAGAAGUCCUAAUAUUUUACAUG